GAAAAUUGGUUGCCAUUAGGGCGGAGCUCAUUUGGGAGUUGGGGACUGGGUCGUAGAGAGAAGGAGCGCCAGCGGCGAGGCACCAUGGAGUUCCUGCUGCAGCCGAUGCGCGGAUCCACUUUCCCUGGAGGAGGUCGCAGAGAGCUUGGUGCCGCCCCCUCUGCCGGCAGCGGCGACGGGAGGCGAUAUGGUGGCGGAGCAGGAGGUGGUGGAGCAGGAACGGGCGGUGGACAGCGCUGAAGCUCAGAUCUUGGUGGCCAGGGUAGCGACAGCCGCGGACAGGAGAGAGCUCACCCCCAACGUCGAAGUUGUCAACUGGGAAGAUGAAUCCCCGGGCGCCUGGAUGGAAUAAGAGGUUUGUGGUGGAUUUGAGCUUGCAGUCAUUAAUUUAGGGCUGCAAAAGAAAGAACUUUUGAGGAGUGGAAAAUUCCCGCCAUUAGUAGGUGUUUGCAGUAACUUAGUGUUGGAUUUAUACUCGCAGUCAGUAAAACUAGGUAUGUACAUGAAAGUUACGAUGAGUGGAGUAGAACAACUAGUGAGUUGGCUCCGCUUGCAGGCCGAGGAUAGUGCUGCUGCACCAAGCAGAACACCGUGCCCAAACCAUGGGCAAAGCCGCGUGCUGCGAAACAUGUGCAAAUGCGGUUACGGGCAUCAAAUAUCUUGUCAGCAAACUAAAACAUCUCAAGCUGGAUGUGCUCGCGUGCAGUUGCAAGGUGCGAGAAGCAACGAGCAUUUAUUUCCUUGAGUAGGACUAUCAUCUCAUCGCUCGACUGGAACAUGAAAUGGGAGUUUGCAGUGAUACAGGGCGUACGAGUGAGUCCACAACCAAAAUUAAUGCUUUAGAAAAUGUGUACAAAAAGUUGAGGCACAAGAUAAUUUGCCAGGUGGGGAUACUGCCUCCAUAAAUAAUUGGUGAAAUUCAUCGGCCCUAGAAGACUUAUGGUCAUCGGAAUCAGUUCAUCAAUCAAAUGGUGUGCAGAUGUAGGGCUGGGAACAUCCCUCUGAGAUGUCCUGGCUGUGCUACCACCACAUGACGAAGCUGGCUAGAACGGAGGUUUUGCCGUGUUCCUUGACGCUAACUGCUCCACUGCGGAGUGCUUGGAAUGGGCGUAACACAUGGUGGAGAUGUGGCGUAACUACACGAUGUGGGUAGUUCUAGGAGAAUCAGAAAUAACAUUUAAAAAGAAGCAGCACAUCCGUGAGGGAUGGCUAGCACUUACCGGUGCGCCGGCAUAAGAUGGGGUCGUCUUGCCAACAUCUGUAGCCAUGGUUAUCAUUCUCUGGAUUGAGUCUUGGUCAAACACAUUUACCCUCGGCAACACAGAAUAUUGCUUGUUGAACAUCCCAAGGUCGAGAUUGUCCAGCAGGAAUAUCCGUGAGUGCUAUAAAUCGUUAGCCACAAGAAAUAGCAGGUAACUAAUGUCAUGAAUUUGGGGAUUUGGUGUCUGAUUUUUGCUGCACAUUUUUUUUUGUUUUCCUGCUCUGCUAGUUCUUAGUUCAAUUCCAUAAACAUAAAGAGGAUGUCUCGUCAGUCAUCACAGUGUGGAUUCCUUUUGUACUUGUUGAUUGUAUUCUUUGGAGUCCAAAUCAGUUUCUGUGGUUGUUACUAGCGCUCUUGUUUGUUUGAUAUAAUAACAUAGGCCUUAUUUGUGCUAGAAAGUAUCCUUUGCAACAAUGGGUUUGAAAUUAUUUAGGAUGAAGUAUCAGAUAAUGAGAAAAAUCUAAGCUACAUUGUUCAUGAGCGGUCAAAUAAAAAAACACAUGGUAUUCUUUGGCAUGACUUAGUGCUGCUCAACAAAAAAAAAAUCUCAGCAGAAAAACUGGAACCACAUUCUCAGUCAGCAUUAUCCGCGCUUAAGAAGAAUUCUUGGAGAUGGCAGUUGUUUCUACAGAGCAUUCUUUUCUCCUAGUACUUGGUAACUAUCUCAGUUACUUGUUUUUGAUGAUGCCACUUUUCUAUUUUGCACAGAAGUUUAAUACCUCGAGGCUUUAAACAGGAAAACCUUGGAUUAAUGCAAGAUGGUCAUGCUGAAGUUACUCGUCAGUCGUCUAAUGGAACAUGUGGCUAUGUCCAGAGAGAAUUUCUAUCGUCUGAAAUGGGAUAAAGCAUACUUCUUAACUCCUGAAGAAUACUUUUCAAGUGUUGUUUAUGUACGUAUUCUCUCAGCUUACAGAAGCUUUUAAUUCUUUUUAUGAUCUGUAACCCCUAUUUUGUUGUUAUAAUACUUUAGCCAUUUACAAACAAACGAACUAUGCAUGAAAAAUAGUACUAGCUCUGUAAACUAACAUAAGACGUUUCAGAUUACUACUUUAGUGAUCUCAAAUGUCUUAAUUAGUUUACAGAGGAAGUACUUGCCUAUGACUUGAUGCCCCUUAAAAUAACUUGAUGUCCCUUAUGUGUCCUGAAUUGUCCAAUGCCCUCACUGAGGCUGAAUUAUUUGACCUCAAGCUGCAUCAUCAGAAAAUAUCUUUGAUAAAGAACAACACCCCACAAUGCUUUUCAUUUAAACUUCUUAUGAGUUUGACCCCGUUGGCCUUCCCACCAAAGUUUGGAGAAGUACAAAAUAUAUGGACUGAGAGGAGAGGGGAAAACCUAUUUGAGCACUCAGGGAGUUAACAUGUAAAUUUAGGUGAGGGCUUUGUAUUUUUUGUAUUGCUUAUUAUCUAGCAUCUAAAUAAGGUUGAACUUAAGGAUACGUAUGAACUUUAGGUGAGGGCUUUGUAUUUUUUGUAUGAAAAAGUUCUUAUAAGUUUGAUGGUUUUUGGCACAUGUAGCAUAACGAUGAGUUUGGUCAUAGCUGUGAUCACAUAAUUUGUUCAAUAUCAUGGGUUUCAUGUUUGUAAAGAAUCUGAGAGUACAGUGAACUGUUCUGAUGUCACACAUUGAUCCUAUUUUUGGUUGCCACCCUUACAUGAGAAAUUCAGUCUAGGACAUUGAAUUUUGUUGGCAAACAAUUGCACAUGCCCAAGAUAGAGAUGAGGCUCAAUCUUUAUGUUGUUAUCAACUUCAGGGGGGUGGUUCCUGUCGGCAACAGGGACACAACAGGACAACCUGCCUGGAUCAUGGAGAUGUUCCGAAACAGCCUCGAAUACCUGCUCGGUGCAAGAACUGUAGUGUCAUGGGUCACUGACGAAGCAACUGUACGAAGGCCGCAUAACUAAGACUCCAAAACGACUGCUGAAAGAGCAUUCUAGGCGAUGAUGAGUGCACUGAUUAGAGGGUUGCAUCAAUUUAGUGACGAAACAUUAAGAAGCAAUUCAUAUCUGUUUGUCUGUGUGUUGUAGUUUUCACAUUAUUGUUUUCUGCCGGUGCUAGAAUAAGGACCAUUGUAUUUCUAUGUGUUGUUUCUUGUUAAUAGUAGAUUCAUGGUGUUGUGUGUUU